AGAGUUUGAUCACGGCUCAGGAUGAACGCUGGCGGCGUGCCUAAUACAUGCAAGUCGAGCGGUAAGGUCUCUUCGGAGAUACACGAGCGGCGGACGGCUGAGUAACGCGUAGGAACCUACCCCAAACUGAGGGAUAAGCACCAGAAAUGGUGUCUAAUACCGCAUGUGCUCUUUUGAGUAAAGCUUCGGCGGUUUGGGAAGGGCCUGCGUCUGAUUAGCUUGUUGGUAAGGUAAAAGCUUACCAAGGCGACAAUCGGUAGCUGGUCUGAGAGGAUGAUCAGCCAGACUGGGACUGAGAACGGCCCAGACUCCUACGGGAGGCAGCAGUAGGGAAUUUUCCACAAUGGGCGAAAGCCUGAUGGAGCAACGCCGCGUGCAGGAUGAAUGCCUUCGGGUUGUAAACUGCUUUUAUAUGUGAAGAUUAUGACGGUAGCAUAUGAAUAAGGAUCGGCUAACUCCGUGCCAGCAGCCGCGGUC
rnacentral:rRNA from 1 species